CCACGUUUCACACUGGAGGGAAAAAUGGUAAAAAUGACUUAACAAUCUCAGAUCUGCCAUUAUCAGACUCAGCAAUUUAUUACUGCAUGGUUAGCUUUUACUGCAACAUGCAGAUUUUAAAAACCAUCAGAAUCAGUGUGAGGAUGGAAACGGGACCAAGCUGGACUUUGGAGGUGAGUUUCUUCAUUGUCAACAUGAUCCCACAUGAGAACUCUCUAAUCAGACUAAACACAGAUAUAAAGCUCUGAGCUCGGCUUCUUCUGUCUGACUGUACCCACAGAUGAGGUGAGCUCUGGUGUCUUGGUGUAUUCUCUGAGUGGAGCUUUGAUAUCUGCAGUUAUCCUGAUAGUUGUCCUGGUCAUGAAGAACAAGAGAAACAGCAGCAAAUCUGAUGAGUCUUCCUCCACUAUCACAGCAGAGGAUUACCAAAACCUCCAGCAGCUCUAUCCUGCUGCAGUCAACGUGACCAAGAGAUCAAGAAGACAGAGAGAUCUGACCUGGAGUGAAUGUGUGUACCACACCUUAAGGAAGUAAAACCUGACAUGUUACAUCUGAGCUUUGUUCUAAAGGAAGCAGAUUUUCUACGUCACUCUUUUACUGUUUAAUGUACAUUUU